AUUCUUUUAAGCAAAAUAUAUACUAACAGUAGAGCAAUACAGAAAAGAUUAGCAUGAUCCCUGAAAAAGGAUGACAUGCAAUUUUGUGAAACAUUCUAUAUUUUU